GGAUCCGGUGUUCCUCGACGUAAACCGAUUCAAGUACCGGGGGAAAUCCAACCAACCCACCCCUCCGGCUCCCCGCUCACUCACACGGGUGAACUGUGCCAACUGGGCUGGAUUUCAGGAGGGUUGCCGGGCAUAUGCUCGCCCCGCAACCUCAGAACUGAGACGGCCCCCGCCGGGACUGGCAUCCCGGGCGAGGGCCUGACCAACUAGGAAGUAGCACCUUCCCA
rnacentral:ncRNA from 1 species